rnacentral:rRNA from 1 species
AUUGAACGCUGGCGGCAGGCCUAACACAUGCAAGUCGAGCGAGCGGGGGAGGGGUGAGUAAUGUCUGGGAAAAUGGCUGAUGGAGGGGGAUAACUACUGGAAACGGUAGCUACUACCGCAUACCAUCAGAUGUGCGCCGAUGGGAUUAGCUAUUAGGGGGGGUAAUGGCUCACCUGGGCGACGCUCCCUAGCUGGUCUGAGAGGAUGACCAGCCACACUGGAACGGAGCAACGGUCCAGACUCCUACGGGAGGCAGCAGUGGGGAAUAUUGCACAAGGGGCGCAAGCCGGAGGCAGCCAUGCCGCGUGUGUGAAGAAGGCCUUCGGGUUGUAAAGCACUUUCAGCGGGGAGGCGGUACCCGCAGAAGAAGCACCGGCUAACUCCGUGCCAGCCGCCGCGGUAAUAC